GAGCGGUAGAGAGAAGCUUGCUUCUCUUGAGAGCGGCGGACGGGUGAGUAAUGCCUAGGAAUCUGCCUAGUGGUGGGGGAUAACGUUCGGAAACGGACGCUAAUACCGCAUACGUCCUACGGGAGAAAGCGGGGGACCUUCGGGCCUCGCGCCAUUAGAUGAGCCUAGGUCGGAUUAGCUAGUUGGUGAGGUAAUGGCUCACCAAGGCUACGAUCCGUAACUGGUCUGAGAGGAUGAUCAGUCACACUGGAACUGAGACACGGUCCAGACUCCUACGGGAGGCAGCAGUGGGGAAUAUUGGACAAUGGGCGAAAGCCUGAUCCAGCCAUGCCGCGUGUGUGAAGAAGGUCUUCGGAUUGUAAAGCACUUUAAGUUGGGAGGAAGGGUAGUAACUUAAUACGUUGCUACUUUGACGUUACCGACAGAAUAAGCACCGGCUAACUUCGUGCCAGCAGCCGCGGUAAUACGAAGGGUGCAAGCGUUAAUCGGAAUUACUGGGCNUAAAGCGC
rnacentral:rRNA from 1 species